rnacentral:rRNA from 1 species
UACGGAGGGUGCAAGCGUUAUCCGGAUUCACUGGGUUUAAAGGGAGCGCAGGCGGAUUGGUAAGUCAGUGGUGAAAGGCUUAAGCUUAACUUGGGAACUGCCAUUGAUACUAUCAGUCUUGAAUGUUGUUGAGGUUUGCGGAAUGGGUCAUGUAGCGGUGAAAUGCAUAGAUAUGACCCGGAACACCUAUUGCGAAGGCAGCGGGCUAAACAAAUAUUGACGCUGAGGCUCGAAAGCGUGGGGAUCAAACAGG